ACCUCAGUAGCUUUGAAGGAAAGCGCCGGCCUUCGGAUCCCCAGCCGAGGUGACGGGUUCGAAUCCCGGAUGAGGUG
rnacentral:tRNA from 1 species